UCCCCCGUGGCGCAAUUGGCUAGCGCGUUCGACUGUUAUCCUGUCUGGAAGAGCAGAGUAUCGGGAGGUUGACAGUUCAAUCCUGUCCGGAGGAG
rfam:Mycosphaerella eumusae strain CBS 114824 scaffold1, whole genome shotgun sequence.